CCUCCUCCCCCGACCCCCACAUUUCCCUUCUUUCCCCUCCAGUAAACACACAUCAGGAAAAAGAAAAAAAAUAAAAGAAAGAAAGGGGGGAGCAGAGGGAAGAGAGGAGAACGGAGAAGAAGGAGAGGAAGAGGGGCACGAGCCAGCGCCGGUGGGCCUCGCUGUCGCCACCGAGCUGCUCGCCGCCAUCGCGAGGAGGAGGUGUCGCCCUCCAGUGGAGCCGUGUAACCGUCGUCACCGCGAGGAGCAUCACGCCACUGCUGUUGUCCGUGCCAUUGCCUUCGCCACUGGUCCAGCAUGGAGCCGCCGUCAAAACUGAGUCACGGAGAGAGAUGGCUCGCAAGUGAGGGGUGGUCGUGGGCUUGGAGCUGCCGGGCCUUCGUCGCCGCCGUCCAACGUGAAGCCAGCUACUGUCGUCGCUUCUCUCAGUCGUCCCUGCCGCCGCCAUGCCGUCGAGGAGGGGGCCGUCAGGUCGCACAAAGUGAGAGAGGGAGAAAGCACAGGAGCAGAGGAGAGAGAGGAGAGACCUGCGCCGGCCACCGCCGCUUCUGCCGCUCGGAAUCCUGCUGCCGUCGCCGGAAGACUCUAUCGCCGCCGUCUAGGUCGCGUGGAGGGAGGAAGAGCCACUGGGUGUCGCCGCACCUUGCCUCCACCGCCCCUAUCGCCAAAAACAACCACUGAAUCCUCUGUAUUGGUAAGCGUUUCUGAUUCGAAAGGCCUUUUGUCACUGCUCUGUAAACUUAUGCUGAGGCGUUGCGGUGUUGUCUGUCAUAUGGUUGCGUAUUCGUGCUUGCAUUCCGUGCUCGGAGUUUGCAACUAUCUCGUUUUGUCUUUUCAUUGUUUAUGCUGUUGCAAAAGUGUAUGAGGCUGUGCUUUGAAGCUGCCGUUGAUUUUGGGUUGAAGCUAAAGGACAUUUGUGAGGCGUUUGGGAUAUGGUUUCGCAUAUUGAGGGUUUUGGAAUGGUUUGGAUGGGACCCGGAAAGGGUGACAAAGUCCAAGUUUCAGUGGAAGUGCUGUCGAAAUUCCGAUGGGAUCCGAGGCUUUAUCGAAAUAUCAUUUGGAAAAUUAUGAGCUUAAGACUUUUACUAUGUUACUUGAAUCAUUUAAGAAAGUUAUGAAUUAUGUUUUGAAACGAAUUAUCAAAAAUAGAAUUAUGACUUGGCUUUGUUUUCUAAGAAAAAUAUCAUGUUUGGAUGGGAGUUGUUCGGAAGAGUUUUUGCUUUAAAGCUGUUUCAAAGGUGAAAAGGGUUUAUAUAAUUGAAUUUAAUUUAAAGAUUUUUACUUAAAGGAGUUUUAGUGACUUUGAAAGGACUUGAUUUUCGAUUGAUAAAUUCUCGUUUUUCUUUGACAUUUUAAGAAAGGUUUAAGUAUCCUUAGAUUUCUGGUUUAGGAAAAACUAAAAUGAUUUACGAGUCGUUGAAAAUGUUUCAGAUUUUAAUAUGGGGUUGAGAUUGGUUUGGUUUAAGUACAAGAAAUGGUUUUGAAAAUGUGGGUGGACAAAUUAAUUACACAACUCGAUUUGGUUUAGAUCUCUAUUUUAUUAUUCACAUUAGGAAUCCAAGGUUUUAAGGAUUUUAAACGAAUUGGAGGAAAUGAAUUAUGUUAUUUUCUCCUAAAGACUUAAGACUCUGUUGAGGAACCUUUGUCACCAAAUCCUGCUUUAGGAUGAAUGAUUUUGAGUCUCUCAAAAAAAAAAAAUUUGAUUUCGUGUGGUUUUUGAAGUAUUAUGGAAAGAUGUUGAGGAAUGUGACUUUAUUUUAAAACGAGAAAUAUACGUUUGAAGAAAAGUGGCUUGUGAGCCUGUAAUGAUUAUGAGAAAUGGGGAGUUUAAAGUUAAGGCUGGAAGGAAUUGAUUUUGAUUUCGAAGUAAAGAGAUUUGAGAAAAAGUUAUUUAUGGCUUAAACGAUGAUUAUAUGUUUCAUGAUGUUGGAUGGUGGAAGUGCUGUUAUGCUAUGAGCUGGAUGACUGUAUAUAAUAAUGAAAUAUGGCUGUUUGUGGAAUAUGUUAUGAGCCGGAUGGCUAAGAUGAAUAUGAAUAAGAAUUGACUUGAUAAAGUGAUUGUUGCACUUCCAACUAUCUGAGAUACGAGUUUUCUUGGGUGAAGGCAGUGGCUAGCCACCACGUGCUCCAAGUUGAGACUCGAUACUCUGUUGACCCUAUGUCGUAAGUGUGACCGGACACUGUGAAAGUUCCGGAUGAGCUCGUCCCCGUGGAUAAGCACCAGUGUGGGUAUUGUAUAUAUAUAUAUUGGUAAUUAUGAUUGUGGAUAACUCGAGUUGGGGAUGCGCGACAGAGGGACAGUCCAAUGGUUAGCUACCAAGAUUUGUCGAGUUGGCUUUAUAAUCGACAGAUGAGACUCAUCAGCCAUUAGGACAGGCAUGCAUCAUAUGCAUUUAUGUGACAUUGUUUGGGUGUGCAUAUUGUACUUGGUUUGCCUAUGUGAUUAAUUAUAUUUAAUUGCUAUUUGCUCUACUUGAAGUAACCCUUUGUCUGUGCUUGAACAUUCCUACUUGUGUUUGUAACUAAUAAAUUGGUUGGAUUGUGGUGGAUGGGCUGUUGUUUGGAUUGUUUGGGCCUAGGGCCGUGGUUGAUUAAAAGGUGGGUCGAAGCUCGUGUUUGAUUUGUGUUUUUGGUCUAGGAAAGUAUGAAAAACUAAACUGGUUUAGAAUAGACUUAAUGAACCUAUGCUUGGAACAGCUUGGUCAUUCAUACUGUCUAGGAAAGACUUUUCGAAGGGCUUUCGGAUUUUGAAGAAUUGACAGUUGUCUCUUUCAGAAAUCAUUUCGGAAAAUUGAUAUUAAAUCUUUGGUUUUGAAAAGAUGUAUAAGGUGGUUAUUAAUCACUGUAACGAUUUUAUCUCGUGUAUCCUAUUAUAGUAAUUCUGCGACCCUGUAGUGAGAACCCUUUCUAGGAUGAUGUUCUCAUUCCCCUACAGGUCUUCUCUUUUUCAGGUUACGGACGACGAAGUUUAGAAGAGCUUAUUUCUUUUUCUGUUAGACGAUAUUUUUGUAUUGUUUUAGUAUUUAUGUUUCGCUCGCCUUUAACUUUGCAAGUAUUGUAAGAGGGAUAGGAUUUUGAUAUGAGAUGCUUGUAAAUUAAUUUGUAUAUGUAAAUAUAUAUGUAGUUCUUGUGAGUAUUGUAAUUUAUAUUGUAA